UAGGUGGAAAGAAAGGAGGGAGAGGGAAGGUGGGUGACUAUGGGCCAAUUUCAUGCGAAUAAUAGCGUCGGCGUCCCAGCUCGCCUCCAACACGCUGGGUUUGCCAUGAAAGCGCCGGACGUAACUUUGACUAAAUCCGGCAAAGAACAGACUUCUCGGGGACGCGACUAGACCGUUUUUCUCACGCCGGUGAAAAAAAAGGCCUUGGAGGGGCAUGUUGGGGCGCAGCUGCAAAUGCUAUUAAAAAACGACAAGUAUUGCAUUUUGAAAAAAAAUUGACUUUGCGGUUCACCGAGCUCAUUCGAGUUCGGAAGGAGAAGGGCACUUUCCAUGACCGAUUCCCUUUUUCCAUGAAUCAACAUUUCACCCCAAAAAUGGAAUCAGCAAGUGUUUCACCCCGAAAGAAAAAAAAAGGAAACAUCAAGUACUCCCUGCUAUCUACUAAUAUAAGAGCGUUUGGAUUACUAAAAUAGUGUCAUAAAUGCUUUAAAUUAAUUUACGGUUAUCGCUCCGAGUAUUUCAGAUGGUGCAUGCAGCCAUGCGCAUGGGAUUCGGUUCAUCCCAAAUACGACGCCGUACUUGGCGAUGGCGCGCCAUGCUUGCCCAUCCAAUUGCAUCGGCCUGAGACAACAGUGCAUGAUGAGUUGCAUCAGCAUAGCGUUCAUGUAUAUUUUAACGAUAAUCCAAUCAAGGCCUAAGCCACACAGGCAUAGCACAAACGAUAAUCCAAUCAAGGCCUCAGCCACACAAGCAUAGCACUCAUCACCCCACACCCAUGGUCUUCACGACUGGCAGCACGGUCGCCCCACACGCAUGGUCUUCACGACUGGCAGCACGGUUGCCCUCCUCCCUUCCGCUCUGACAGGUACAGGUACCCAAUGGCCGUGACUAUAUCACGGUAAAACGGACAUGGUCGCGACUAUAUCACGGUAAAACGGACAUGGACGCGGGCCCCUCCUUCUCCUCAGGAGGCUUCUCCUGGUAGGAGCGCGAGCAGUGCCCUCCAAGUGCGACUGCAGCGGUGACACCCCGUCGUGGCGUUGAAGACCAACCAACAACAACGGCCCCGAAUCCCUCGCUAAAAUAUUGAUGAGCCUUGAAUUCGAUAGGACGGUUGUAGGCAUAAACCAAACAGCCUCUCUGAGUUUGGUAGAAAAUAAAAGAUCUUCGCAUCUGAAUCUGUUGAAACAUAGACCAUCUAUUGAUAUAUGUGAACAUAUAUUCCAAUCAAAAAAACUCGAUACUCUAGGCACCAAACUUUUCUCAAACAACAAAGCGCCUAACAAGCCAUUCUACUCCCUCCGUCCAGGUGCCUAACUGGCAUUCUAUUUUCUCAAACCGCCUAUUCUAAGGUGCAUACAGCACCUAAUGAGGAGGAGCGUAACCUAGGCGUGCAACGAUUGGGGCAGAGAAAUAAUUUAUACUGUGUUUUGUUUUUGCCACAGUAAUUACAUAAUUACUCCUCACGAACUGAGGAUUAAUCAGGCGACCAUUCAACUCCUUGUAGAGUUACGAGUCCAUUGACAUAGCAAAUAAAGUGGCUGGAUUAAAUACGGACCUGGGCGUAUAAUGAGAUUUUCGUGGGACGUGAAAGAGCUGCACAAAUUCUUUGAACAUUUUUGGAAUUUUCAAAUUCUCUUAAACGCCCUACACACCUGGACAGAGGGAGUAUUCGGUAUCAAGAUAAAGAUUGGUAAAAAUGUUAACAAUAGACAAAGCUCACACUUAAAAUAUUAGAAGGAAGAUUGUCAGCAAAGACCAUCAUAGCAAGUAUUACAGUUUCAAGGUGGAUCUUACACCAUCGUGCUUACUCAUUCAAGAACGAAAAAUUCCUACAGCCUACGCAGCCCAUCAUCGAAUCCAAAAACCAAUGAACACCCACAAAGUAUCAUCGAACCGUUAUGCUUCAAAACUACAGAAACACUUAAGAGGAGGGUUCUAAGGACUCACUACCAGCACUCUUUUCUGGCUGAGAACGUCCCUUUACUGAGGCAAAUCAGAAACAUUGACUUUCUAUGAAGCAGAAACACUUAAGAGGAGGGUUCUAAGGACUCACUACCAGGACCAUUUUCUUCAAAGGAAUCAGAAACAUUGACUUUCUAUGAAGCAGGAACUCUGGGAGCAGGCACAUCAGCGACAGGAACUCUGGGAGCAGGCACAUCAGCAACAGGAACUCUGGGAGCAGGCACAUCAGUAACAGGAACUGGAACUGGAACUAUUGGAGCUGGCACAUCAGGAAUAGGAACUCUGGGAGCAGGCACAUCAGCAACAGGAACUCUGGGAGCAGGCACAUCAGCAACAGGAACUCUGGGAGCAGGCACAUCAGCAAGAGGAACUCUGGGAGCAGGCACAUCAGUAACAGGAACUGGAACUGUCGGAGCAGGCACAUCAGGAAUAGGAGUUGUGGCAGCUGGCACAUCAGGAACAGAAACUGUGGGAGCAGGCAGAACAACUGUGGGAGCUGGCACAUCAGGAAUAGGAACUGGAGCAGACAGAACAGGAACUGAGGGAGGAACAGUAACUGUGGGUGCAGGUGGAACAGGAGGCACUGGGAGAUCGAUGUCAGGAAACAGCUCAGUGUAUUUUGCCAGCCUCUGUUGACACAAGUCAAUGGACUCACCGUGUGCGACAUGCGCGAUACGGUACAACUGGACAGGAGUGAAUUUAAUCAUAACCAUUACCAGGACCACGCAAGGGUAAAAAUCCUUAAGCUGCAAGCAAAAACUAUAAAGUGCUCUGGCAAGCCAUAACAGCCAUCGUGGAAGCACUGCCAAGAUCCGAUCCCAAAAGAAAUGAAUCCAGAGCUUUUCACCAGCAAUUCUUUUCCUCUAUUUAUCAUGGGCAGUCUUGAGAUCAUAAACCGCUCUAGAAAUGUAUCUCAAGCGAGCAACAGCCAAAGAUAGAUGAUGCAGGUCAUGCCCAGCCGCCAAUCUCUCCCAUGCUUCAAUUCUGAGCUGAGUAUCUUUUGCUUCGGUCUUUUCUUGCGUAAUGUCAGCCAUAUCUUCAACUUGAUUUUCUGUGGAUGGAAUCUGCAUCAUAUGCUAACAAUUCAUGAGUACAAUAUUAACAACUGUAGCGAAUCCUACAGACCAACUAAGGUGGUCAAAGUAAUGCAUAUCAAAAUACCAAAGAUACGGCGCUACUUCAGCCGCAAAAUAGCGAGAAUCUCUUCAAAACAGGACAUCCAAAACAUCAAAGAUGAUAGUAUGCACCAAGUUUAACAGGAAAAAUUAUAGAACAGAUAUAACCUUCAAUAUAUCCAGUAAACAACAGUAAGAACCAGUAAACACAACAAAACGGUUAGCCACUUCCAACUAUGUCCAACAAUUUGAAGAAUUAUCAUCGUCAGAGGAAGCAAAUUACGUCAUCUUAACCAGAUUAAGUUAGCAAAACACACACUGGACCAAAACACUAAAUCCCUCCCUCUCUCCCCCUCUGUCUCACUCUCUCGACAUGACAGUAACAUAAAUCAAGCUACUUCAGCCACAAAAUUAGUGAAACGUACAGACCAUCAAACUAACACAAAUCCUACAGACAAUAAUACAAACACAAUAUACAGAAGCACGCACACACAAGUAACAUUGCCAGCAUCACUUUAAAACAGGACAUCCAAAACAUCAAAGAAGAUAGUAUGCAACAAGUUAAAUAUUGUAACUGAGAUAACCAUCAAUAUACCCAAUAAACAACUGUAAGAACCAGUAUACACAACAAAAUGGUUAUGCCACUUCAACUACUUCCAACCAUUUGAAGAUCUAUUAUCUUCAGGGCAAUCAAAUUCAUUUUCCUUCACCUUAACGAGAUUAAGUUAGCAAAACACACACUGGACGAAAACAUUUAAUCUCCAUGACAACAACCAAAGACUAGUCAUGCAACUAAGGUGGUCAAAGUGAAGCAUAUCAAAAUAACAGAGAUACUGCUACUUCAGCUGCUAAAUAGCGAAUCCUACAGACCAACUAAGGUGGUCAAAGUGAUGCGUAUCAAAAUACCAGAGAUACUGCUACUUCAGCAGCAAAAUAGCGAAUCCUACAGACCAUCAUACUAACUCAAUACACAGAAGCCAGGCACUCACACAAGUAACAUAGCGAGCAUCUCCUCAAAACAGGACAUCCAAAACAUCAAUGAUGAUAGCAUGCACCAAGUUUAACAGGAAAAAUUAUAGAACAGAUAUAACCUUCAAUAUAUCCAGUAAACAACAGUAAGAACCAGCAAACACAACAAAACGGUUAGCCAAUUCAACUAUUUCCAACAAUUAGAAGAAUUAUCAUCUUCAGAGGAAGCAAAUUACGUCAUCUUAACCAGAUUAAGUUAGCAAAACACACUGGACCAAAACACUUAAUCUCCAUAACACAAACCGAAGACUAGUUAUGCAACUAAUGUGGUCAAAGUGAUGCAUUUCAAGGCACUGAAUAGUAAAACUGAACUGAUUACUAAUCAAGCAUGUCAUAGUAAUCCCACCAAUUGAGAGUUCAGAGGGCAAAUAGAACAAACAGAACUGUGGUUACCUGCACAUCAACAGGCUCCAAUUCUCCAGGGCUUGAGAUCAUAUCUCCUUCUGCAGAUUUGGUUUCCAAUUCUGAUUGCAUUGCGGAAAGCUCCCUUGAAACAGCAUUUGUCAGCCUGAAAUUCGGUAGGUUUACUGCUAUCAGAAGAAGAACAGAGUAAUUUCGACAAA
rnacentral:lncRNA from 1 species